rnacentral:lncRNA from 1 species
CAAGUGAGGUAAUCUUCGCAAACAACCCAUGUAAUACAAUAAAGGAAAAGAUACAUAGUUGGCUUACAAUCGCCACUUCACACAAUUACAUGAAUAAGGCAUUACAUCAACCAAAUACAAUCAAGGCCCGACUACGGAACCAAAAUAAAAGAAGAACCCCAAAUGCGACAAGGUCCCCGAUCGACCCCAACUGGGCUCCACUACUGAUCAAUUAGAACGAAACAACACAAAGGGCAAGAUCUUCAUCGAGCUCCUCCUGAGCUUGGUUGCGUCAUCUGCACGGUCUCAUUGGCACCUGCAAGCUGGUUUUUGAAGUAUCUGUGAGUCACGGGGGCUCAGCAAUCUCGCACCCUCGCGAUCAAGACUAUUUUAGCUUAUAGGAAGGGUAAAAGGUAUGAGGUGGAGCUGCAGCAAGCGACUAGCAUAUAUGGUGGCUAACAUACGCAAAUGAGAGCGAGAAGAGAAGGCAAAGCACGGUCGAGAAACUAUGAUCAAGAAGUGAUCCUAGAACCACCUACGUCAAUCAUAACUCCAACACCGUGUUCACUUCCCGGACUCCGCCGGAAAGAGACCAUCACGGUUACACACGCGGUUGAUGCAUUUUAAUUAAGGUCAACUUCAGGUUUUCUACAACCGGACGUUAACAAAUUCCCAUCUGCCCAUAACCGUGGGCACGGCUUUCGAAAGUUCAAAUCCCUGCAGGGGUGUCCUAACUUAGCCCAUCACAAGCUCUCACGGUCAACGAAGGAAUAGACCUUCUAGCGGGAAGACCCGAUCAGACUCGGAAUCCCGGUUACAAGACAUUUCGACAAUGGUAAAACAAGACCAGCAAAGCCACCCAGAUGUGCCAACAAAUCCCGAUAGGAGCUGCACAUAUCUCGUUCUCAGGGCACACCAGAUGAGCAAGACGUCGGGUAAGCCAGCCCAGAGUUGCCCCUGGUAUCCUCGGACAUUGCUCAGUUGGACCAACACUUACAGAAGCACUGGCCCGGGGGGGUUAAAAUAAGAUGACCCUUGAGCCGGCCGACUCAAGGGAAAGAAAAGGCUAGGUGGCAAAUGGUAAAACCAAUGUUGGGCCUUGCUGGAGGAGUUUUAUUCAAGGCGAACUGCCAAGGGUUCCCAUUAUUACCCAACCGCAUAAGGAACGCAAAAUCCGGGAACAUAACACCGAUAUGACGGAAACUAGGGCGGCAAGAGUGGAACAAAACACCAGGCAUAAGGCCGAGCCUUCCACCCUUUACCAAGUAUAUAGAUGCAUUAAUUAAAUAAGAGAUUGUGAUAUCCCAACAAGUAACAUGUUCCAACAAGGAACAACAUCUCCAUGUUCCAACAAGGAACAAACUUCAAUCUUCACCUGCAACUAACAACGCUAUAAGAGGGGCUGAGCAAAGCGGUAACAUAGCCAAACAACGGUUUGCUAGGACAAGGUGGGUUAGAGGCUUGGUUCAACAAUAUGGGAGGCAUGAUAAGCAAGUGGUAGGUAUCACAGCAUAGGCAUAGCAAAUGAGCGAGCAACUAAGCAAGCAAAGAUAGAAGUGAUUUCGAGGGUAUGAUCAUCUUGCCUGAAAUCCCGCAAGGAAGAAGAACGAGUCCAUGAAGAAGAUAAACGGACGUAGUCGAACGGAUCCUCACAAACGCAACGUUAUCGGAACUAACCCGAAGAAGCAACACCAGAAAGAAAGCAAACCACAUGGUAAACAACCAUCACAUAAGCAUGGCACGAUGCGCAAACAAGU